rnacentral:rRNA from 1 species
CAGCCGCCGCGGGAAUACGAAGGGGGCUAGCGUUGUUCGGAUUUACUGGGCGUAAAGCGCACGUAGGCGGACUUUUAAGUCAGGGGUGAAAUCCCGGGGCUCAACCCCGGAACUGCCUUUGAUACUGUGAGUCUUGAGUUCGAGAGAGGUGAGUGGAAUUGCGAGUGUAGAGGUGAAAUUCGUAGAUAUUCGCAGGAACACCAGUGGCGAAGGCGGCUCACUGGCUCGAUACUGACGCUGAGGUGCGAAAGCGUGGGGAGCAAACAGGAUUAGAUACCCCCGUAGUCCCUGUCUCUUAUAA